AAAUUCCUAGAUGUGGAAUUGUUCUAACGUAGUGUAAAGGAGACCUAGCAUGAAAUGUGGUUGCGCUUGCACGCAAGGCAUCUCACAAAGCUGGCUGGACUCAUCUGCAAACAGAAUGUUCUGCCUUGUGAACUCACAAGGCCCCAGGGAAAACAUUGCUUGCAAACAAGGAUGUUUUAUCAGUUCCUCACAAGGAACAAGCCUGGGGCCUUGGGAGUUUGAAACAUUAUGAAGGAACCUGUUAGAAACAGAUAUGUAGGGGAAAGCUCAUUAUUGUGGGACGCUUGCGCAGGCUUAAGUCGCUGACUCCUUGCUUUGGCAAAAUGCUGGCUUUGUUUAGAGGCUAUAAAAAUAAAGAGCUCGAGAAACUCGAGACUACACAGCAACCGGUGUUUGUAUAUUCAUUUCUUCGGCGGCAUCUGGCGCCCAACGUGGGGCUCGACGAAACCGAAAGGUCUUCCGGCGCUGGAGAAAGCGACAACAACUAAAAAGUAUCGUUGAGACCGUUGCGCAUGCUGUCCGUCAAAAUGCUAACAAAAGAGGGAGAGAUGAAGGAGACCUGGCAUGAAAUGUGGUUGCGCUUGCACGCGAGGCAUCCACAAGACUGGCUGGACUUUUCUGCAAACAGAAUGUUCUGCCUGGUGAACUCACAAGGCCCCAGGGAAAACAUUGCUUGCAAACAAGGAUGUUUUAUCAGUUCCUCACAAGGACAAGCCUGGGGCCUUGGGAGUUUGAAACAUUAUGAAGGAACCUGUUAGAAACAGAUAUGUAGGGGAAAGCUCAUUAUUGUGGGAGCUUGCGCAGGCUUAAGUGGCUGACUCCUUGCUUUGGCAAAAUGCCAGCUUUGUUUAGAGGCUAUAAAAAUAAAGAGCUCGAGAAACUUGAGAGACUACACAGCAACCAGUGUUUGUAUAUUCAUUUCGUCGGCGGCAUAGUGUGCACUUUUUGUGUCACCAUAUUGCCUUCCAAAGUACUGAGCCAAUUUACACUCCUUCACCAGUGUUUUGUUCUUAGAAAAGCCUUCCCCAUACAAAAUUAGAAAAAAUGUGCACUAUUUUUAUUGACUUUUUGUGUCUUCAUUUAUUAAAAUAUUAUGAAAUGUAUUAUUCUCCUCUUAUCUGUAUGCUUGAAAUAAAUGUGCCCACCACCUGUUUUUCUUCCAGAUCUUUAAAUUACGCUCUAUUUGCUUCAGAUUCUCUUUCUACCCCUCCCCCUCCGUUUUUUAAGAAAUAAAAUUUCUGUGUUUAGAAACCCUCCCCUGUAAACCCUUGCACCUUGUUUCCCUUGAACCUGUUUCUGUCUCCAGUGCUAACCAUUAUGAAUUCUGUGUUUCUCAUUUCCAUGUAUCAUUUUGCACUUUUGCUAAAUGUAUAUUUACACACAAUCUACAUCAUUUUGUUUUGAAGAUUUUUAAAUUGGCAAUAAAUGAUAUCAUACCACA